CGAUUUCGAACAAGAAACAAUUACAUUGAAUGACAGUUUUAAGAUUUUUAUAACACUAUUAGACAGUUCUUGCUACUAGAGCAGUUUUUUCUAACCAAACCCAAUUUAUAUCUAUACACUAACUAAAACUCCUAACUAAAUAAGUUAACUAAAUAUUGUUAUUUUCUUUUAUUAGCCAAAAGGAAACUAUGGUCACAACCACUUUUUGUUCUCUCUCUCUCUCUCUCUCUCUCUCUCUCUCUCUCUCUCUCUGCUUCUGCAAAAAAAACAGACAAAAAUGUCAUAUGUAGUAAAAAAAACAGACAAAAAUGUCAACAAUUACCACAUAGCUUGACUUCUUAGGAAUUAAUAAGAAUCAGACCAACAACGUUCCAAAUCAAAGUUUUAUCUUUUUCAUAGUUUUAUUCUUAUUUUCUCUGGUCGUGAACCAUUUGGUUUUAAUUUCCACUAAAGAAAUGCAAAGUGCUAUUUCAAAGAUAGAUCUGGAGAUUUUCAAGUCACUUUUAAUUUCUGGUACUUACCGUUUUGAAUCCACCGUCGAAGCUCCGUCGCCAUCUUCUUCAUAAUCUUCACCUCUGCGUUUCUUCCGCUUAAAUCGAGCUCUUCUAUAAAUCUCAGCCAUCGUCUAAACUAUCAUAGGAGAGAGAAAGCUUAAGCAACAAUGGUAAAUCCCUUUCAAAAAAAAACAAUGGUAAAUCUCUCCAGCGUGAAGUGAUUGUGUCACGAUCUCGAACGCGAGUAAAAAAAAGAUGUUACAUUCACAUGGAUUAUAACCUUAGUGAAUUCUUCUACCGGCCAUAGUUAACGGUUUUCUUAACCAUCUAAACAAGACUCAUUAAUGAAUUCUUCUACAGGCCAUAAUUAACGGUUUCUUAACCAUCCAAUGUUUAGUAGGAUGUCUAUGUGUACAUAUAUAUUAUAGUGUACAUGUGUUCAUUUUGUCUGAUAAUGUCCAUGUGUACAUCGAUAGGUAUCCACAUGACUUUGGUUCAUUUGUACGUUUUCUAAACACAACACUGAUGCAUUUGUAAAUCUUGACGUGUCUUCAAACGUAUGUUGAAUAACACAAAACUACUUUCAUAUGUAUAUUUUUGAUUCUUAAUAUUUCACAUGAUUUGUGUUUUAUUCAUAUCUUAUGAUUUUUGGUUUUGAUUUUAGUUCAGUUAAUUUAUUUUUCAGGGCAUUAAAGAAUUAAAACAUGAUUUUAAGAUUUUAGUGAGAAUACACAAUUUUAUGAACAUUGCCUUAGUAAUAUACAAUGUACACAUGUAAAAGAUAUAUAUGUGUUGUGUUUGUGCACAUGUAAAUAUGUACACAUGUACAUAUAUAAUCAUGUUGUUUAAUUCACGUAAACCACACUUCCUUAUCUUUAUAUUUACAAAAACAAACAUUAUGUACACGCGUACACUAACAUUAUGUGCACAUAUACAUGCGUACACUAACAUUAUGUACACAUCUACGUAGUCAUCCAAUGUAUCCUUGUACAGGAACAUGUGUACACUAGCAUUAUGUACACAUCCGCGUGGUCAUCAAUUAUUUUUUUUAAUGAGUGGCAAUUUUGUAAUAACUUCAUCUUCUUCCUAUUAGGAUUUUCUGUGUUUCCUGCAAAUAUAACUCACAACCGCCAUUGAUUUUUAUCAUGCAAUUUUCAUUGUUUUUGUGUUUUACCUCUAGAACUUAUACAUAUUAUAUAGAUUAAUAGAUUAGAACCCAAAACCAAAAAAAAUAUAUAUAUAAAAAUUAGUUUCUCCGAUAGCUCUCUAUCACGUCCUCUAUCUCUGUUGUUUCAUCCUCCAACCUAAAAAAAAUUGUAAGCAACUAUUUUCUAAAGAUUCAAAUUCCUCCAACAAAAGUUAGAAAUUCAAAAUACAAUAUUUUUUCAUACGCUUGGUAAUUCCUAAAUUCUCUUUCAUUAGGUCCACUCACUCAUUUUAAAAUUUAAAAACGUAACCAGAAAACUAAAAACCCUUUUCCAAUUUUACCCCACCAGUUACACCUUUUUCAGGGACAAGUUAAGACAUUUCACUCAGAAACUGUCCAAGUAGCAAUAAUUGCCUUAUUGUGAUAUUGAAACUUGUAAACUGCCCUGCAGUGUAAAUCACUCUUCGAACAAAUGGUACUAUUAUUUAAAUAACUGAAUAUUUUUAGUAUCCAUCUUCAAUUAAUAUUAUCUAUCAAAAAAGAUGAAUCAACAUAUAUGUUUAACUUGUCAAUUGUAAGAUGACUAUGAAAAUUUAUAUCCCGUCGAGGAUAUUCGCACAAGAUCUUAUUACCAUGUAGACCAGAAGCUAAACAGCUUUGCGUCUUGUUCGAAUAUCUUCCAAAAAGCUGCUGUUUCUUACAAUCUGUAAAUAAAGAAAUUAAAAAGCUAUUAGAUGCUAAUUAAUCAUCAUUGUCAUGUCUAAUCAAAGCAUGAGAUUAUACCAUAAACAGAUCAAGAACAAGAAGUUGUCGUUUUAACAAUCUAGAAAUAAAGAGAUUAAAAAGCUAUUAGAUGCUAAUUGAACAUCAUUUUCAGGCCUGGACAAAGCGGUGGAUUAUACCAUAAACAGAUCAAGAACACGAGCUUGUGUCUUGUUCGUGCAAAACGCUGCGUUUAUAUAAUCAACGAAUUAAAAAAGCUAUUAGAUGCUAAUUAAUCACCAUUGUGGGGCCUAAUCAAAGCAUGAGAUUAUACCAUAAACCGAUCAAAAACACAUAAAGAUUUACCGUUAAAGAUCUUGUAUUGAUCAAACACAGUUGUGUAAAAAAGACAAUAAAAUACAGAGAUAUCGACGGAACUCACCGUCGUUUCUUUAUCUUUAAACCGGUGGAAGUUUGUGUAUUGCGGUCAAACCGGUUAAUGGAGAGCUGGCGAAGAUGAUGGAGAAGAUAAUUGAGAAACGAAAGAGACUCGGAACUCUUUCAAAAAUUGGCAGCAUUCGAGAGAAUGAUUCAGAGAGAUGAAGAAAAAGAAAAUAAAAUAUUUAUCACAAGGAGAGAGACAAAAUGUUAGUGUUAGAGUAGAUAGGGUACCGGUUGUAUCCGUAUUCCACCUUUUUUU
rnacentral:lncRNA from 1 species